UGCUGCUGCGGCAGAGGCGACGAGUGAUGCUUCUUGAAGGAAGAAGGGUUGCUUAAUUGAAAAAGUAAGAAGGGUGAACUUAGUAUUUUUCCAAAGACUUUUGUGGUGCUGUCUCAUUGUUUGCAUAUGAUGCCCAGGUAAAAGUCUGCUGCUGCUGCUGAUAAUGCAAAUUUGAAGAGAAAUCCAUGGGUACCAGGAAGUACCAGGAAUCUUGAGAUAUAUAUUUUGAAGGAUCAGAAGAAUUGAAAUGAUUGGAAGAAUUAGAGAAGAUGGCAAGCCUCAGUAUUCCCAAAGACUUGUCGAGUGAGGAAGCUAAUCAAUAUUUGAAGGAUGCAUGCGUGAAGUAUGAGAUCAA